rnacentral:rRNA from 1 species
GAUGAACGCUGGCGGCGUGCCUAAUACAUGCAAGUCGAACGCUUCUUUCCUCCCGUGUCUUUGCACUUAUUUGCAACGAGGAGUGGCGUAAGGCUGAGUUACCCUUCCUUUACCUCUCCAUUAGCGGCGGAUAACCCUUGGUAAUAGGUGCUAAUAUUGUAUAACAGUUUAUGCCGAAUUGAAUAAGAGUGUUUGGGGCUCUUGUGUGUCGAUGCUCGCUGCAUUCGCGGUGCAUUAGCUAGUUGGUAAGGUAACGGCUCACCAAGGACACGAUGCAUAGCCGACCUGAGAGGGUGAUCGGCCACACUGGAACUGAGACACGGCCCAGACUCCUACGGGAGGCAGCAGUAGGGAAUCUUCGGCAAUGGGCGAAAGUCUGACGGAGCAACGCCGCGUGAGUGAAGAAGGUUUUCGGAUCGUAAAACUCUGUUAUUAGGGAAGAACAAAUGUGUAAGUAACUGAGCAUACCCUGACGGUAUCUAAUCAGAAAGCCACGGCUAACUACGUG